UACGAAGGGGGCUAGCGUUGCUCGGAAUCACUGGGCGUAAAGCGCACGUAGGCGGAUUGUUAAGUCAGGGGUGAAAUCCUGGAGCUCAACUCCAGAACUGCCUUUGAUACUGGCGAUCUCGAGUCCGGGAGAGGUGAGUGGAACUGCGAGUGUAGAGGUGAAAUUCGCAGAUAUUCGGAGGAACACCAGUGGCGAAGGCGGCUCACUGGUCCGGUACUGACGCUGAGGUGCGAAAGCGUGGGGAGCAAACAGG
rnacentral:rRNA from 1 species